UACAGAGGCCACGAGCGUUAGGCGGAAUCACUGGGCUUAAAGCGUGUGUAGGUGGAUCGGUAAGUACCUUGUGAAAUUCCACAGCUCAACUGUGGAACUGCUGGGUAUACUGCCAGUCUUGAGGCACUCAGGGGCGAGCGGAACAAAUGGUGGAGCGGUGAAAUGCGUAGAUAUCAUUUGGAACGCCAAUGGUGAAGACAGCUCGCUGGGGGUGUACUGACACUGAGACACGAAAGCCAGGGGAGCAAACGGG
rnacentral:rRNA from 1 species